rnacentral:rRNA from 1 species
AUGACAACAGAGUGGCUUCAGUGGGCGAUUGGCAACCACCUAGGACAACUAUUCACAAUAAUAUUAUGCCACUGCCAAGUCAGAAGACCAAUGUUAUGCCACAAAUUCACAGAAACAAGGACAGGCCUUGGUGGAAUUAGAGACAAGCUCGAAAAUAAACUCAAGGUAAACCCCGAAAUUGAGCUCCCACUUUCUUCAGAAAUAAUUGAACUUGGAAACAGGCUAUUGAAUGAAGAGAUUAAUUACAACAAAGUGGAGCAAAAAGAAGACCACUCGAGGAUCUUUGGUAGUUUGAACUCCGAACAACAUCUGAACAAAGAGGAGCAAAAAUAUUCGAUGACCAAGCCCGACUGCCUCUGCUGCAGACGAAGACAAAUUUUUGAGCUGCCUCACUUUGGGACAGUGACUACGCGUCCGAGUCGGAGCUUGGGGACAACAACGCCCCCACGAACCUCACAUGUUCAGUUAUCAUGUGUGCGUAGAAAUAUACUUGCAUUCUUUUUGAUUUUCACUCACUAA